ACUAAGUGAUGCUUCAUAACACAUGAAGACUCAGCAGUCAAUUGGAGUUGGGAGGAAAAUACUCUGCCCAUAAUUCCUUUCUUUAAUUACCUGUUGGUCUCCCUUCUGCCCACCUUACAUCCCUUUCUUUUUCAGCCGGACCUUUUCUGUUCCUGUCAACUUUCUACUCUGAUGAAUUGUGUGAGGGUACAGUUAUGUUUUUGCAGUGUACAUAUGGUGAGUCCACACAGCCACUCCAGAUUAAUUUUUAUUCCCCUCUCGAGAUUUGUUUUUCUCUGACAACUUCCAAGAACCAGAAAAUAUGCAUAGAGUCCUUACAUGGUACUUUGGCUUAAUGCUUCCUUUUUUGUUUAAAAUAAAUUGCCUAAAUUAUUCAUAGCGCUGUUGAUUUGGGGUUAGUCACUAAGAAGCUGAGGCUCAUAGUUACUUGAAUUUGGAGAGAAGAGUUAAUACUUGUUCAAAUAUUCGUAAAAGUUUUAUUAGCAGGAAAGUAACUUUCUUUCAGAACUUUAAGUUGUCUUGUUAAUAUCAGUCAUCAUGGGAUAGUUUUCUAGCUAAGAUAUUAGGAAAUGAAGUAAAAUCUGUGCGCAGAGCAUACCCUAUGUCAAAUUAUUUUCUGAAAUUGGCUUUGUGGUCACUCCUGGGUGACUGGGUAUGUUGUGGAAAGAGCAUGUACUUGGAAGCAAACAAGUUUCAACCACUUUCUUUCUAUGUGAGCUUGAUAAUUUACCUGAUCUCUCUGGACCCUGAUAGUUUUUUGUUUGUUUGUUUGUUUGUUUGUUUUUCCCUAGAAUGGAUUGUAGACUUGAAGUGUUGA
rnacentral:lncRNA from 1 species